GCCGUGUCUACGAUGUCCUAGUUGCUUUGGCGGGGGGUGAGCUAACGGGGAAGGUCACGGGAACCCGCCGAUUCGGGGUUCUGGAAAAAUAUCUGUCCCCUGCGCUUUUUAACUUUAUCCGUCACAUUCAGGCGAGAACCGUCGGCGCCGCCACGGAGGCGGAAAAGGACAAGGCGAUGGCGAUCGACGAAGAGCGCCGGGCUGCACUGAUGAGGCAGAUCACCGAGGAGGGUGGCUUCGCCUACGUCAGCUCGGCGGAGAAGGCGGCCGGCGGAGACCUCCGGGCUGCAGAGGCUGCGCGGGAGAUGGCGUGGGAGCAGCUCCACUCAGGGCCAUGGUAUGAGGUCGUUCCCGCUUGGCGAGACGCCUAUGCGAUGGCCUGCUUCCACGUGGCGGAGCUCCGGGCCGGCGCUGGCGACCGACGGGAAGCCCUCCGCGCCCUCGACAUGGGUCUUAUUAUGGGCGGCCCGCUGCUCCGUCGCGACAUCGACGCUGCCGUGGAGAGGAUCAUGGCGGAGAAGGGAGUGGAGGACGCGGCCGUAGACGAUGGUUGUGCUGACAUGUGGAUAAAGGGAAUAUCCGCAAACGGAGACCUGGCAGAGGCACUACGCAUCCUGCCACACAGAUCACUAUCGUGUAAGAAAGUUGAGAAACAAUUGUCUCUCUCUUUGGAGACAUUUAUAUGUGAUUAUUUUUUACGGGAUUCUCCAGUUAUAAUCAGUGGAUGCAUUGAUCAUUGGCCUGCACGAACAAAGUGGAAGGACAUGGAAUAUCUAAAGAGGGUAGCAGGAGAUCGAACUAUCCCUGUCGAGGUGGGAAAGAACUAUCUAUGUUCUGAAUGGAAGCAACAGCUGAUUACCUUUUCUCAAUUCCUUGAAAGGGCACAAUCAACUAAUUGCUCUUCCAACUUAACAUACCUAGCUCAGCAUCCUUUGUUUGAUCAGAUAAGGGAGCUCCGUGAUGACAUAAUGAUUCCAGACUACUGCUUUGCUGGUGGCGGCGAGCUUCGUUCUCUCAAUGCCUGGUUUGGUCCACUUGGUACAGUUACACCACUGCACCAUGAUCCUCAUCAUAAUAUUUUUGCUCAGGCAUAUUUGAAUGAGCUUAUUGAGCAGUUUGCUCCACUAGGACAGUAAUUUAUAUAUUGGGAAUUGCUCAAAAGGUGCACGUAGAGUUGGGAAUUGAUCAAAAGGCGCAUCAUACUUUCACUAAUUUAUCGGUCUUCCCGUUCUACCCGACAAAUAUGACUUUUUACUCUCUUUCCUCUCUUAUCGGCAUACAACUUUUCUCUAUCUCUUCUAUUUCCUCUCUCUCUUCUCUUUCAUCCAAUUAAACUUUUCUAUUUUUUCCUCCUUUACAUGCCCCAUGGAAGUUUAAUCUUGAAACACCUCUAGAGAACCCAAAAUAAGUAAUGGAGGAUACCUUUGGACUCCUUACAACCUCAGAAACCCAUAGGACUUGAAAUAGGUGCAAUUUGAACUCUCUAGGUCGAUCUUUAGACUGAAAUCCACUGAUGAACUUAGGCUAUUUGUAUUUUUGCAAACUUGCACCCAUCUGGUAGGGUUGAGUGAGAGGAAGGUAGAUAGAGUGUCAAACUUUGGUCCUGAUCAAAGGAACACUGUGAGUAUAGUGUGGGAAGACCAGGACCACGUUGGGCCUGGUAUGAGAGGAUUUGGUCCAACUUGAGCCUGAUCUGAGCAAAUCAGGCCCAUGUUGGUCUUGGUCUCUAGGAGACUAGACCCAAGUAUUCUAGCUAAAAGUUAGCAUAAUAAUGGAGCACCUUUAAGGAGCUCAAAAUAGGUAAUGGAGGGCAUCUUUGCCCAAGUAUUGCUCGAAAUAGGUAAUGGAGUGCACCUUUGCCCAAGUAUUCUAGCUAAAAGUUAGCAUAAUAAUGGAACACCUUUAAGGAGCUCGAAAUAGGUAAUGGAGGGCACCUUUAGACUCCUUGCAAAUUCAGAAAUCCACAAGACUUGAAAUGAGUGCAAUUUGAGUUCUCUAGGUUUAUCAGUGGGUUUUGACCAAAAUUCACUAAUGGACCUAAGCUAUUUGGAUUGCUACAAACUUACACUCAUCCGGUAAGGUUGAGUGAGAGGAAGAUAGAUAUGAUGUCAAACCUUAGUUCUGAUCAAAGGAACACUGUGAGCUUGGUUUGGGAAACCCAAAACCAUGUUGGGCCCGAUCCUCUCAUAUGAGGCCUAUAUUAGGCCUGCUCCUCUCAUAUCAAGCCCAAUGUGGUCCUGGUCUUCCCACACCAUGCUCACAGUAUUCCUUUAAUCAGCACCAAGGUUUGACACCAUAUCUACCUUCCUCUCACUCAACUCUACCGGAUGUGGUGCAAGUUUACAGAAAUCCAAAUAGCCUAGGUCUAUUUGUGGGUUUCAAUCAAAUCCCACUAAUCGACCUAGAUAGCUCAGAUUGCACUCAUUUAUGAUCUCGUGGAUUCUCCAUUACUUAUUUCAUUAUUUAUUUCGAGCUCCCCAAAGAUGCUUCAGUAUUAUGCUAACUUUUAGCUAGAUUACUUGAGUCUGGUCUCCUAGAGACCAAGACCAAUAUGAGCCUGAUUUGCUCAGAUUAGGCCCAUGAUCCUCUCAUAUCAGGUCGACGUUGGACCUGAUCCUUUCAUAUGAGGUCCAACAUGGUCUUAGUCUUCCCACACCAUGCUCAUAAUGUUCAUUUGAUCAGAACAAAGGUUUGACACCAUAUCUUCCUCUCACUCAAUUCUACCGGAUGGGUGCAAGUUUGUAGAAAUCCAAAUAGCAUGUCCAUCAGUGUGUUUCAGACAAAAUUCAUUGAUUGACUUAUAGAGCUUAGAUUGCAUCUAUUUUCGGUUUGGUGGAUUUUUGAUAUUGUAAGGAGUCCUCUAUUAUGUAUUUCAAGCUCUUGAUAUGUGCUUCAGGAUUAAACUUUCAUAGAACAUGUAAAGGAGGAAAAAACAAAAAGUUUAAUCGGAGGAAAGAGAAGAGAAAGGAAAGAGAAAAGAGAAUAAAAAGUUAGGUUUGAUAGGAGGGGUAGAGAAGGAAGAUAAGAUAAAUUAGUACGUCCUUUGAUAAUUAUCAUAAUAUGGUACAGCUUUUGGUGAAUUCCCAAUUUUGUGUGCGCCUUUGGACAAUUCUCAUUAAUAUAUAUCCGUCAGCAUCUUGUACCAAAUGUGACACCAGAACUUUGAGGUUAAUUCUCGGUAAUCCCAAUAUUUAUUGUUUCACUUGAUUAUCUUUUGUCAUCAUAAAAGGUAGUUGGCCGAAAAUAUGUAAGACUCUAUCCACCAUCAUCAUCGGAGCACUUAUAUCCCCAUACGGAGACCAUGCUUUGCAAUUCCAGUCAGGUAGAUCUUGACAACAUUGAUUUAGAAGAAUUUCCAGUGACGGCCGACUUGGAUUU